CCCCCACCAUGUCCACUGACUCUGAGCCCAGCUCAGCACUAGGACUUGCCUAGGAACUGCAGUCCUUGUGACCUUGACUGCCAUUCAAGUUUAUUUACAACCCAGAGCAUUUUACCCCCAUGGUGGUAAGGCUUGCUGAAACUCAAGUUCCAUCCACUGGGUUGGGCAAUUCCCUUGGGCAAUUACCCUCUGGCUAGGGCUGGUCUAAAUACUCUCUCCAUCAUCAGCUGUCAGCUGAGUUCAGUUCGGUUUUGCUUUCACUGUGACAAAGCAGCAUCAAAUUCAAUGCAAUGUCUCACAAUAGCUGCGCUCUCCCUCUUCCAAGCACAGAGAUUCUCUCUCUACGCCACAAAGCCACUGCCAUGGGAUGGGGACAGGUGGCAUCAGCAACUCAAGACUGUCUUCCCUACCCUCUUCAUUGCCUCUUUCAACAGUAUGAAGUUAAAAUCAGCUCUGAAGAUGACAAUGCAUUCAAAUUCACCAGAUCACCCCCAGCUCUGAAGAUGACAAUGCAUUCAAAUUCACCAGAUCACCCCCAGCUCUGAAGAUGACAAUGCAUUCAAAUUCACCAGAUCACCCCCAGCUCUGAAGAUGACAAUGCAUUCAAAUUCACCAGAUCAUCUAAUGAAGUUUCACUUCUGUUUCUUAGCACCUCCCUGACUCUUCUGUUCCCUAGAGUGGAAGGAGGGUCUGGGAAAGGACCUUUGCCUGAAACUAAGAAGUCAACAUGAUACCCCUCAAUAUCCCACCUGGGAAGGGAGCUGCCAAUGAGCCGAAGCAGAUGGGGAGGAGAUGAAACUGGGCUAUCAGCUUUGCAGGCUGGAGCCCCCUCCUGUAUCUGCCUUAUCUUCUGGUAUCCCCAGCACUUGGCCCUUGGCCUUGUAGAAAGCAGGAAUGUGAUACAUGUUUGGUGAAUGAAUGAGUGAAUUAAUUAAUUAAUUUAAUAUAUUAAUUUGUAUCUAUUUCAAAUAGAGUCUGAAGCUCAAUUAAUACUUUAAAAAUACAGCUGGGCAUGGUGGCUCACACCUGUAAUCCCAGCACUUUGGGAGGCCAAGGCGGGAGCAUCGUCCAAGAGUUUAAGGCUAGCUUGGGCAACAUGGUGAAACCCCAUCUCUACCAAAAAUUUAAAAAAAAAAGAAUUAGCUAGGCAUGGUGGUAUGCGCCUGUAGUCCCAGCUACUCAGGAGACUGAGGUGGGGGAAUCACUUGAUCCUGGGAGGGUGAGACUGCAGUGAGCUGAGAUCACGGCACUGCCCUCCAGCCUGGGUGACAAGGUGUGGCCCUGUCUCAAAAAUAAAUAAAAAUAAAAAUACUAUAUAAUCAUUCAUUCUAAAACAGAAGUUAUAAUCAUGCCUAUCCCUAGGGCCAUUGGGAAGAUUAAAUCCAUGAAUAAAUGUAAAACACUUAGACCAGCGCCUGGCACAUACCAAUCCCGCAAUAAGCUAUUCAUGUAAACUGAGAGUAGGUUGUCCCACUCCAUGUGGGAUUAGGGGUCAGUGUAGGACCAGGGUCAGAGAUCAAGGGGAGAAUCACGCAAAAAUUUAGUAUGAAGUUAGGAUUAGAGGACCAGUUUGUGUCCACCCAGCAGUCAGAUUUUUUAGUUACCAUCUAUUUGUUUAUUUAUGUCCCACAUUGUUCCAGGAGGAGUCAAGGCAGCUUUCAGGAAUUCUAACUACAGAAAUCAAGAAAGAGAAAGAUCAAAGUUACUAUGGACUGAAUGUUUGUGUCCUCCCCAAAAUUAAUAUGUUGAAGCCUAAUCCCUAAUGGGAUGGUAUUAAGAGGUGAGACCUUUGAGAGGUGAUUACGUCAUGAAGGUGGGGCUCUCAUGAAUGGGAUUAGUUCCCUUUUAAGAAGAAACAUAAAAGGAAAAAAAGAAAGAAAGAAAAAAAGAAAAAAUAAUAAAAAGAGAAGAAACGUAAGAGAGACCUCUCUCUCUCUCUUUCAAUCAAUCAAUAGCUAGAUCUCCCCCUCUCUACCAUGUGAGGAUACAACAAGAACACAGCCCUCUGCAAAGCAAGAAGAGUGUCCCCACCAGAUACUGAAUCUUCCAGCACCUUGAACUUGGACAUCUCAGCCUCCAAAACCAUGAUAAAUAAAAUUCUGUUAUUUCAGCCACCGAGUAUGUGGUAUUCUGUUAUAGCAGCCUGAACUAAGACGAAAUGGAGGUGUUACUCCCCAAGGGUACUCAUGCUGGCACCCUGAGGCCUUCUCAGCACAGAGCUGCAAAUGGGCAACCAAAUCUCAGGCCUUGCUGGUCAUUCUGAAGGUCACACUGACAGCCUAUGGUCAAGCAGAGCCAGCUGCACGAAGUCCUGGUAAGAAUUCCAUGAGAUCCCCCAUGCAAAGUGUUGGCACAGAGUAAGUUCUCAACACAUGUUGCUAUUGCUAUCAGUGCACAGGCUGAGGUGAAUGCGCAGCGAGCAGCAGGGACCAGCAUUUUAUCACUGGCCAGAGCAGUGCAUUCUCUCCCCAUGAGCAGCC
rnacentral:lncRNA from 1 species